AGGACAUUGAUGAGGCAUUUCUCUAUGAAUUAGAUACAGUUGGUGACUUUAGCAUCAACGAGCUGGGAUCAUGCCAGAAUGAGUUCGAGAGACGAAUCGACUCCACUGGAGAGGGUUUGUCUGCAUUCCACAUUGUUGAUUCUGGCACUCCAGAAGUUGCUGAAGAUGCCUUUGCUGAAGUUCAUGAAAGAAAGUUUCCAUUGCACCCUGAUAUUUUAAAUGCAUCCACAUUUGAAGAGAUUGGUAAGCAUGAAGAAAAG
rnacentral:misc_RNA from 1 species